CCUAUAACUGGGGAAUAGCUCCCUGAAAGGGGGAAUUAACACCGCAUAACACUAUUGAUUCGCAUGGAUUGGUAGUUAAAUGGUAGCGAUACAGGUUAUAGAUGGGCAUGCGUGACAUUAGCUAGUUGGUGAGGUAACGGCUCACCAAGGCUACGAUGUCUAGGGGUUCUGAGAGGAAGGUCCCCCCACACUGGUACUGAGACACGGACCAGACUCCUACGGGAGGCAGCAGUGAGGAAUAUUGGUCAAUGGGCGCAAGCCUGAACCAGCCAUGUCGCGUGCAGGAAGAACUGCCCUAUGGGUUGUAAACUGCUUUUUAUAGUAGAAGAAACACAUCUACGCGUAGAUGUCUGCCAGUAUACUAUGAAUAAGCAUCGGCUAACUCCGUGCCAGCCGCCGC
rnacentral:rRNA from 1 species